rnacentral:rRNA from 1 species
GGAAGGAUCAUUACAGAGUUGCAAAGCUCCCGAACCCUUGUGAACCUACCUGUUUCCGUUGCUUCGGCGGGUGGCCCCAGGCGGGGCCGUUUGCCUCUGUUCGCAGAGGUGCCUGCCAGAAGCCCACAAAAUUCCGGCGUUACAGCGGCAUGUCUUACCAAAAGAACAUUAACGAGUCAAAACUUUCAACAACGGAUCUCUUGGUUCUGGCAUCGAUGAAGAACGCAGCGAAAUGCGAUAAGUAAUGUGAAUUGCAGAAUUCAGUGAAUCAUCGAAUCUUUGAACGCACAUUGCGCCUGCAAGUAAUCUUGCGGGCAUGCCUGUUCGAGAGUCAUUUCAAUCCUCAAGCCCUGGCUUGGUGUUGGGGUUCUACAGCUCCUGUAGGCUCCAAAGACCAGUGGCGAACUCGCUAUAACUCCGAGCGCAGUACACGUAUCUCGUUUGGAAAAGUGUGGCGGGUUCCAGCCGCAAAACGCCCCAAUUCACAUGACAAGGUUGACCUCGGAUCAGGUAGGAAUACCCGCUGAACUUAAGCAUAUCAAUAAGCGGAGGAAAAGAAANNNNNNNNNNNNGCCCUAGUAACGGCGAGUGAAGCGGCAACAGCUCAAAUUUGAAAUCUGGCUUCAGCCCGAGUUGUAAUUUGUAGAGGAAGCUUUAGGUAAGGUGCCUCCUGAGUUCCCUGGAACGGGACGCCAGAGAGGGUGAGAGCCCCGUAUAGUUGGACACCAAGCCUUGGUAAAGCCCCUUCGACGAGUCGAGUAGUUUGGGAAUGCUGCUCAAAAUGGGAGGUAUAUCUCUCCUAAAGCUAAAUACCGGCCAGAGACCGAUAGCGCACAAGUAGAGUGAUCGAAAGAUGAAAAGUACUUUGAAAAGAGGGUUAAAUAGCACGUGAAAUUGUUGAAAGGGAAGCGCCUAUGACCAGACUUGUGCCAGGCUGAUCAUCCAGUGGUUUCACACUGGUGCACUCUGCCUAGCUCAGGCCAGCGUCGGUUUUGGUAGGGGAAUAAAAGCUCUGGGAACGUGGCUCCUCUGGGAGUGUUAUAGCCCUCUGCGCAAUACUCUUACCGGGACCGAGGUUCGCGCUCUGCAAGGACGCUGGCGUAAUGGUCAUCAGCGACCCGUCUUGAAACACGGACCAAGGAGUCGAGGUUUUGCGCGAGUGUUUGGGUGUAAAAUCCGCACGCGUAAUGAAAGUGAACGUAGGUGAGAGCUUCGGCGCAUCAUCGACCGAUCCUGAUGUAUUCGGAUGGAUUUGAGUAAGAGCGUAUAGCCUCGGACCCGAAAGAUGGUGAACUAUGCCUGUAUAGGGUGAAGCCAGAGGAAACUCUGGUGGAGGCUCGCAGCGGUUCUGACGUGCAAAUCGAUCGUCAAAUAUGGGCAUGGGGGCGAAAGACUAAUCGAACCAUCUAGUA